rnacentral:lncRNA from 1 species
UUUCAUUUUUCUUCCUGCUGCCUUCGGGACUUUCCGGAUGUCUGUUCACACUUUUGGAUUCAGCAUUUAAGCAAAUCUGGCUCUAAAGAUGACGAGUAGCAAGCCCCUGCACCAGGGCGAGCGCAGCCCGGCUCAGCAUCUCUCCUUCCUUUAGUUCUGGUACUGAGUGGCUCUUUACAGGACAUGUUCUCUUGUGUGUGUCUUGAAAAAAUAUAAGCGGAAGGUUCAUGAAGGGGUUUGGUUGUAGUAAAUUUAUCUUCACAAACUCGCCUUAAUAAAAGGUCAAAGUGUAACUUGUUCAGAGUACUUUCUGAAGCUGUCGAGCAUCAUCGCCAGUGGAUGGCUCCACAGAGUGAAGUCAGCGGUCACUUAGCCAUCUGACCCAAGCCAUGUGAUCAUUUCUAAAGGCCAACAAAAGCAUGUUUGAACUCUCAGUUCAGCAGAGCCCAGUUCCAAGUCUCUGGCAUCCGAGGUGUGACCCAUACUACAGCGGCUCGCCUUUUGCCUAGGUAGCAAAACGUAAGUCGAUUCAGAGAAGUCUGAGUACGGGUGUUGAGCUUUAUGUGACUCUGUAGUUGCUCUUUAUUUUCAAUAGCGAAUUGCUUUUCCUAAAUAAAUUGAUAAUUAUGUAUCCUUUUAGAUUGGAUGCAGGUGUGUGAUCAUGAAAGCUUUCAAUUAUGUGAAUAAUAAAGGAAUAUAAGAAGAAAAUUAAGGGGGUGGGGAAAUGGUUCAGUCAGUCAAGGGCUUGCUGUGCAAGCCUGGGGACCUGAGUUCAGAUCCCCAACCACCCACACAAAAAACCGGGCCUGCACCUGGAACCCAGAGCUGGGGAGGCGGAGACAGGAGGAGCCCUGGUGCUUGCUGGCCUGACAGUCUAGCUGAAUCUUUGAGCUCCUGGUUCUGGUAGAGAACAAUAGAGGAAGACAUAUAACAUAAAUCUCUGGCCUUGAGGGCAAGCACAUGUGCAUACACCCAUCUGCACACAAAUACAAAUACCAGGUACACUUGCAUGCACGACCGUACACCACACCAAACAAAGCAAAAACAACAAAUUUGCCAAAUACUUUAGGAAGCAUUUGAAUAAGUGCUAGCUCUUAUUUAAGACAUUUCUCUUUGCUGCAUAGGUCAGGAUGAAAGUAAAAGAUGCCUUAAUAUUUAAUUUUUGUACUGUUGGAGACAGUGGUUUUAAUUCCUAAUAUUUGCUAUUGUGAUGUUUUGUUGUUUGGUAAGAGGUCUUUCAGUGGAGUCAACAUUAAACACGCUUUGAAUCUGGAGGGGCGGUGCUUGGUUCUUGUGGGGGUUUUGUUUUUUUGGUAGGUUAUUUUUUUUAUAGUGUCUUUUCAAGUAUCCAAAUGUGUUUCCUAAUCUCUGUGUCUUUUUAAUAAUAUAU